rnacentral:rRNA from 1 species
UCAGACGAUGCGUCACUGCAUAUCAAUAAGCGGAGGAAAAGAAACUAACAAGGAUUCCCUUAGUAACGGCGAGUGAAGCGGGAAGAGCUCAAAUUUGAAAUCUUCAAGGUUUUACCUUGACGAAUUGUAGUUUAAAGAAGUGUUUUCUGUUGAAGUUUUGGUAAAAGUUCUUUGGAAUAGGACAUCAUAGAGGGUGAGAAUCCCGUAUUUGACCAUUAUUUUCAGCUGUGUGAUACACUUUCAAAGAGUCGGAUUGUUUGGGAAUGCAGUCCAAAAUGGGUGGUAAAUUUCAUCUAAAGCUAAAUAUUGGCGAGAGACCGAUAGCGAACAAGUACCGUGAGGGAAAGAUGAAAAGAACUUUGAAAAGAGAGUUAAACAGUACGUGAAAUCGUCAAAAGGGAAGCGUUUGACACCAGUGUUGUUUUCUCGAAAAUCAAUUAAAAAGAGUUGGAUUUUGUGUUGUAUUGACCUUAACAGCUUGCUUCACUCUUUUCCUGCUUUUUUUAAUGCACUUUUCGUUUAACAAGUCAACAUCAGUUUCUUUUGUUGUAAAAGGGUCAUUGGAAGGUGGCUUUCUCUUCGGAGAAAGUGUUUAUAGCCUUUGAUCUCUGCAAUCGGAGAGACUGAGGUCUGCAGCGUAGAUCCUUCGGGGUUAGAUACAUUUGUGCUAAGCUACAGCUUUUCAUAGACAACUUGUUGACUAUGUUUAGUCUUGUAACUUACCCGCUUAUGCUAUUUUACCUACGCUUAGGAUGUUGAUAUGCAUGACUGAUAU